AACGAAAGAAGCAAGGGGCCAGAGGCUGGAGGGUUAGCAUGGUCAAUGAGAGGUUCGAUGUUGCUACCAGUCUCUCAGGUUACUUCUGGGUCCCUAAUCGAAUUCUGGACAGUGAGGUCAGAAGAGCAUUUGCACAUUUCCAUCAGGGCCGUGGACCGCGCCUGUCCUGGCACCACCCGGGAGGCAGUGACCUUCUCCGAUGUGCAGGGUUCUAUAUAGCCAGUGACCCGAACAAAGAAGACAUCAGAGCAGUGGAGUUAAUGCUACAGGCUGGGCACUCUGAUGUUGUCUUGGUAGACACCAUGGAUGAGAUGCCUAGUCUUGCUGAUGUCCAACUUGCCCACUUGAAACUGAGGGCCCUUUGCCUGCCUGACUCAUCUGUAGCUGAAGAUAAAUGGCUCUCAGCCUUGGAAGGAACACGGUGGUUGGACUAUGUCAGGUCUUGUCUUCGAAAGGCCAGCGACAUCUCAGUACUAGUGACGUCCCGGGUCCGUUCUGUAGUGCUUCAAGCUGCUUUUGGCCCCGGAAGCCCGGACAUUGUUUGGUUUCCAGUCACUAGUGCAACGAGAGUGGGUGGCAGCUGGACACCCUUUCCUGACCAGGCUUGGGGAAACUGGGGCCAGUGAGGAGGCUCCGGUGCUCCCUCUCUUCCUUGACUGUGCCUGGCAGCUUCUCCAGCAGUUUCCAGCUGAAUUUGAAUUCUCCGAGUUUUUCCUUCUUGCUCUUCACGACAGCAUCAGGGUUCCGGACACCCUCACCUUUCUGAGAAACACUCCCUGGGAGCGCGGGAAGAAGAGUGGACAGUUCAACUCAUAUACACAAGUUUACACCCCCGAGUACUCCCAGCCCCUAGCUGGAAGCCCGGCUAAUUUACAUCUGUCCGUCUGGGACUGGGAUUUACGCUACAGCAAGGAACAGAUAUCACAGUUCCUUAAUCCUGGCUACGAUCCGGAACAUUGCCCAGACAGCGGGCUCCCUAGACAGCAGCCAAGCCUCAUGGUUCCUGGAUCCCCCAGUUCUAUGUGGCUGUUCUCCAGAGGGGCCCUGACCCCCCUGAAUCAGCUCUGUCCUUGGCA
rnacentral:lncRNA from 1 species